UUUCCGUAGGUGAACCUGCGGAAGGAUCAUUAACACGUUUAUCACACGUUACAUCAACCACGUGAACUUAUACAGUUUGGGUUUAAAAGAGAGGGACUGACGACUUCUUCUUUUCGUUCUUCGCGGAGAGAAAAGUGAACCUCCUUCUUUCCCAACUGUUGUGUUUUGUCAUUUUUUGACAAACCUUAAUCACCCCUCUUUUUUUUUUUUAAAUAAUGUUUUUUCUUCGGGAAAAUAUUAUAUAAAAAGAAAAAUAUGAUUAUUUCCUUUUUCUGUUCAAAGAUGCUUCCCUAAUGGGGAGCUAAUCAUUUAAUAACUAACUCAAAACAACUCUUAGCAACGGAUAUCUUGGUUCCC
rnacentral:misc_RNA from 1 species